ACAGUUGGAAAUGACUGCUAAUACCGCAUAAGACCACAGCACCGCAUGGUGCAGGGGUAAAAACUCCGGUGGUACAGGAUGGACCCGCGUCUGAUUAGCUGGUUGGUGAGGUAACGGCUCACCAAGGCGACGAUCAGUAGCCGGCUUGAGAGAGUGAACGGCCACAUUGGGACUGAGACACGGCCCAAACUCCUACGGGAGGCAGCAGUGGGGAAUAUUGCACAAUGGGGGAAACCCUGAUGCAGCGACGCCGCGUGAGUGAAGAAGUAUCUCGGUAUGUAAAGCUCUAUCAGCAGGGAAGAAAAUGAUUUUACCUGACUAAGAAGCCCCGGCUAACUACGUGCCAGCAGCCGCGGUAAUACGUAGGGGGCAAGCGUUAUCCGGAAUUACUGGGUGUAAAGGGUGCGUAGGUGGUAUGGCAAGUCAGAAGUGAAAACCCAGGGCUUAACUCUGGGACUGCUUUUGAAACUGUCAGACUGGAGUGCAGGAGAGGUAAGCGGAAUUCCUAGUGUAGCGGUGAAAUGCGUAGAUAUUAGGAGGAACAUCAGUGGCGAAGGCGGCUUACUGGACUGAAACUGACACUGAGGCACGAAAGCGUGGGG
rnacentral:rRNA from 1 species